UGAGCCUCUCCUUCCCUCCAG
rnacentral:miRNA from 1 species